rnacentral:lncRNA from 1 species
AGUCACUCGUGUUUGCUCCUUUCUUUGCCAGCCACGGUGGCAUUCUGUUCAAGAUCUUCUAAGAAUGAAAGAGGAAUGAAUCUUUGCCAUUACAUCAUCCUCUCUUCCUUCCAUUGACAUAACCUCUCCUCUACGAAAUUUUCAAUGCUUUUUUUAGACUUCAUAUUAUCAUAUAUUCAAGUCUGUAGCUUUGAUUCCCUUUUGAGAAACUUGUAGUUUCAAGUGGCAGAGCCUUUU